CAAGAAUGAAAUGGAGAAAACAUAAGUCGAAGCUUACCUAUUGAAGCUUGGCAGCAGGAAUCAACUUACUCCCUCUGAAAUCUAAAUCUGGUGUCUAAGGAAAUGAAUGAUUAGUUUUGUUGGCUGAAUUUAAAAGCCAUGAAGGUGGUGGUUGGCUGUAAAGUUUAAAAGAUUGGAGAUAGUGGUGGUGGUUGGCUGAGGGAGGAAAGCAAAAGAUGGUGGCGCACUUGGCUAGUGCGUAGGUCUCAUAGAUAUAUGUUGAGUGGAGUUGGUGGCUGAGUAGGCCACGUAGAGUCUACAGCUUUUGUAAUAUACUAGACGAUUUUCCCCAAGCUGGGAACUAGCCUGUAAUCUGUGAACUGUAAAUAAAUACUGGCUUCGAUUUUCAAUCAUCGC
rnacentral:lncRNA from 1 species